rnacentral:rRNA from 1 species
GGUGAACGCUGGCGGCGUGCCUAAUACAUGCAAGUAGAACGCUGAAGGAAGGAGCUUGCUCUUUCCGGAUGAGUUGCGAACGGGUGAGUAACGCGUAGGUAACCUGCCUGGUAGCGGGGGAUAACUAUUGGAAACGGUAGCUAAUACCGCAUAACAGUAGAUGUUGCAUGAUAUCUACUUAAAAGGUGCAAUUGCACCACUACCAGAUGGACCUGCGUUGUAUUAGCUAGUUGGUGAGGUAACGGCUCACCAAGGCGACGAUACAUAGCCGACCUGAGAGGGUGAUCGGCCACACUGGGACUGAGACACGGCCCAGACUCCUACGGGAGGCAGCAGUAGGGAAUCUUCGGCAAUGGACGGAAGUCUGACCGAGCAACGCCGCGUGAGUGAAGAAGGUUUUCGGAUCGUAAAGCUCUGUUGUAAGAGAAGAACGAGUGUGAGAGUGGAAAGUUCACACUGUGACGGUAUCUUACCAGAAAGGGACGGCUAACUACGUG